GUCAGGGUGGCCGAGUGGUCUAAGGCGCCAGACUCAAGUUCUGGUCCUCAAACGAGGGCGUGGGUUCAAAUCCCACUUCUGACA
rnacentral:tRNA from 1 species